CAUCCCACUAUAUUGUUCGCCAGAGUACUACAAGCGCUAGCUUAAAACCCAAAGGACUUGGCGGUAUCCCAUACCCACCUAGAGGAGCCUGUUCUAUAACCGAUAAUCCUCGUUCAACCUCACCACUUCUUGCCAUUACCGUCUAUAUACCGCCGUCGUCAGCUCACCCUGUGAAGGAUCAAAAGUAAGCAAAAAGAAUUUAACUUCAAAACGUCAGGUCGAGGUGUAGCAAAUGAAGUGGGAAGAAAUGGGCUACAUUUUUUUCCAAAAAUACACGAAUGGUAAACUGAAAACACACCUAAAGGUGGAUUUAGCAGUAAGAGGAGAUCAGAAUACUCCUCUGAAAUUGGCUCUGGGAUAAGCACACACCGCCCGUCACUCUCCUCAAAAACAACUCACUAUUUUCCAUAAAUAUAUUUCUUCAACAAGAGGAGGCAAGUCGUAACAUGGUAAGUGUACUGGAAAGUGCACUUGGAAUC
rnacentral:rRNA from 1 species